GAGUUUGAUCAUGGCUCAGAGCGAACGCUGGCGGCAGGCCUAACACAUGCAAGUCGAGCGGCCGUAGCAAUACGGCAGCGGCAGACGGGAGAGUAACACGUGGAACGUGCCCUUUGGUUCGGAAUAACGCAGGGAAACUUGCGCUAAUACCGGAUAAGCCCUUACGGGGAAAGAUUUAUCGCCAUUGGAGCGGCCCGCGUCUGAUUAGCUAGUUGGUGAGGUAACGGCUCGACCAAGGCGACGAUCAGUAGCUGGUCUGAGAGGAUGAUCAGCCUCACUGGGACUGAGACACGGCCCAGACUCCUACGGGAGGCAGCAGUGGGGAAUAUUGGACAAUGGGCGCAAGCCUGAUCCAGCCAUGCCGCGUGGAUGAUGAAGGCCUUAGGGUUGUAAAAUCCUUUUAGCGGGGAAGAUAAUGACGGUACCCGCAGAAAAGCCCGGCUAACUUCGUGCCAGCCGCCGCCGUAAC
rnacentral:rRNA from 1 species